rnacentral:rRNA from 1 species
CGUUAAAACACCGGUUACCAUAGGAUCACCGAAGUUAAGCAACGUUGAUCCUGGUCAGUACCUAGAUGGGUGACCGCUUGGGAAUACCAGGUGCUGA